UGCUUUUUUAUGAGAAUUUUUUUUUCAAAAUCUUACUCAUAUAUUAUGUUUCUUUGCAUUGCUCAUGAAACUAUUAAAAUUCAAUGGUAGUUUUUUCAAGGAACUUAUGUUAUUGGCAUGAAAUAGUUCUCUGUGUACUAGCGAUCUUAUUGCUGCCUGCUUGCCUGAAAAAUGGCCACAUCACACUUAUAGGUUCGUAUUAUUCAGUAUGCUCACAUACAUAAGCUGACACUUUGUUAAAGAAGCAUAGGUUUGGCUCAGUCACACCGCCUCACUUGAUUUCACCAUUUUGGUGUUAAAUAGAAAAUCCAAGCUCCAGAGCUAUGCUCCGAAGUUUGUUAGUUAUAAGGGAAUUUGUAUGGAGUUAAGCAGAAGCACAUUGGACUUUAGCAAAAUGAUUAUUCUCUACUUCUAUUAAUUCGUAGUUAACUGAUUAUAUACCCUUCCAUUGCAGGUCCAGAUUGCAACACUUUUAUGUCCGCACAUAUCAGUCUAAGCUCUACAGAUUCAGGAGGUGCUCUCGGGUCACUUUUGCGGUUUAUGCCCCCAUUAGCUUGUAUCUCCGUCAAAUAAUCCUCAUUUAGGGUUAUCAUUCACUUCAUUUGGAUUAUUAAGAGGUCUUACCAUUUCAUGUUUUUUUUUUGCUUGGUGAGGUUUGCCAUCGAAUGAUGAAAUGCAUAUCCAAAGAUAAGGUAAAGAAUAGAUCUAUGUAGUAAAUAUAGAGGUACCUUGUUUUUUAUAUGCACGAAGCUCCCAUCGCAAUACUGAAGUUUAUAAUUCAAGUUUGAUCUAUAUAGAAAGUCUAUUAGUAACCCUGGGUGAAGAUUAAGUAAUUCUUCACCCCGGUCCAGACAACGAGCCGGACUCCCCGAUCGCACCACCCUGGGUCUACCGGUCGUCUCCAUACUGAUGUAAAAUUUUAUCCCGUGUGAUGUAAUUUUACGUGAAGUCAAGAGCCCACUCCGUCCCUGAUAAAGAAAAAAAAACAAGGCCACACCCGAGAUGAAAAAAAAGAGCGAACUCCCUCGUCCAAUUCUAAUCAGGGGCGAGUAAUAAUCUGAAAAAAGAAAAAAAAACCAAGGGCGGCGUGGACGAGGGGUGCGAGCUCCGAGCGGCGGUUGGGCUCCGGCGUCGUGAUGCUCCACGGCGUUGGGAGCGGCGCGUGGGAUCGGCGUCUCUGCAGGGUGGUCUUAGUUUCGGGCAACGCGGCGGGCCGAGCCGUCGUGUUGCGACGUCCGUAGUGCUUGGCGUCAGGGCUGCAUCUCCCGUGUGGACGGCGCCUCGUCGGCAGAGUCGCCGGCGACGAACACUCGGCCGAAGACGGGACCACGCCAUGAACCAGGGUUUAGCGGCGUACUCGGCUGGACGACGAGCUGGUCGUGGUUGGGCGGCGCGGCGAGUCGUGUCGUGUCUGCUUCUUGAAGAGGGUACAGUGGUGGUUGGCAUUCUACUUGAUGUGGGCGGUAUCUCCUCCUACGACAACGGUCGGCAACUAGCUGUUUGCAGCCGGAAUUCUUCAGUAUCGACCACUCUCCGUCAUUUUACAUGAAGGGAGUACAUGUCAUGGUUGAUGGAAGAGCGUUCGGUUCAGCCAUAUGGCGUGUACAUGUUGCCUAACAAGUUUGUUUUCUCAAUACAGAAGCUGUACAAUUAUAUGAAACUGAAAAUAUUUAGUUUUCUGGCCAUAACUCUGAAUUUUUAUUGACUUGUUGCUUCUUUAUGUGCUCAAUUUUUGGUUGCUACUAGCUUGCUGUAAUAUAGACUGUUGACUUGGACGAUAUAAUUUAUCAUGUUCCUUAAAAAAAAUUAUGUACAAUUUCUUCUCAUGGAUGUUAAUUAUCAUGUCAAGCUUUAAGCUCACACUCUUGGAGAUUUUUUGUUUACGAGGAGAAAUCAGAGAUUUGAGGUUCCUUUUGCUAUUGUAUAAUUCUCUCAUUUUGAUCAUUAACAUAAUUCGAUUAGUUUUUUAUCUCAUCGGUCUACGACAUCAGUCGGAUUCAGAAAUUACGCUGUGUAAAACCCAUGUGUUUUGUAGUCUUUUUUUUACGUUCCUUUUUGUCGUAAAAUUACAUCAAUAGCAUCUGGUUUCUUACAGCGAUUACCCUGGUUCAGUUCCUCACACAUCCACAACGUAACGUGCCUUGCAUGCACAUCGUAAGAUUACCUCAGAAGCCCUUUCUUACGGUGGUUCAAGGCGUGUGCUCGUGGGUGUGGCAUGUGGUUCGGCUGUGAGGAACCCGACCUUCGGGCUAUCUUCGCAACUGUGUCUCCUCGCGCGAAUUAUUCUGGUUAGUUGUGUUUUAUAUGAUGUUAGUGUAAUCUAGAAACAUUUUUUACCAACUAAAUACCCGUUUUAAAUAGGAAUCUCGCUCGUUGACGGAUUUUGCUCUCGGGUCGUGAUGAAAUUGCGU